GGGGUCCAGUGGGCCGUGAGAUAGAGUGGACCCUGCUGUCACAAUGCCCAGAAGGGAGGGAGACACAUAGGUGUUCAGUGAGACAUGACUCACUCUACUGACGUCAGUGAUGAGGUUCGGUGUGCACUUUUAGACAACACGAGCAUCUAAAGAGGACAGAUUCAAACUAGGGGAUUCUGGAAUUGUUUUCUGGAGAGAGCCAUGUUAGGAGUGAGAGAAUAAGCCGAGCGAGCUUUAGGUCCCACGGAACAUGUACUUCUGAAGAGCUGAAAGGCCCGGAUACCCAGCAAGAAUGAAAGAGGAAACCGUGCUGAUGAAAUGGUUGGGGCUAGGUGAUUCAGGGGACAUGAGGGUUUCUAUCUUUAGUCUAAGAGUAAAAAAAAAAAAAGUCAAUUGAAAAAGGAGCUAAAUGAUGUCAUUUGUAGAAUGAACAUUCUAAUAAAUAUAUUGGUCUAUUCAGGAGAGGUUUAUGUGGGCUGGAAUCAUUCAGGGAAUGUGAAGGAACAGAGAAGCCAGAUUUAGCCCAUUGGAAAGGGCUUGAUUUGGCUGAUUCAUACAAAUAGAAGGGACAGAGGAGGGCAUUCCAAAUAGGAGAAUGUAGUGAUCCAGACAGAGCUUGGAUACAGAAGAAAGCAGUGUCUAUCCAUGCCUCUAGAAUUUCUGUCUUAUUAAAGUUCUAUUGCCAGCCUGAUAUGUCCCAGCGGCAAGGCCUAUGGUCUCAGAGGUCUCAGAGCUGAGAUGGUUGGGUUUUGUAUUGAAAUCUAUGGAAGUGGUGACCAUGGGCUCAGGAGCACAGAGAAACCCUUGUCAGCACCAGCAUGGAGAUCCUGUUAUAACCAUAUCCUGUUACGGGCUAAGUUGUAUCUCUCCAAAAGGUAUUGCCUUCCUAACAUACAGCAGGUCAGAUUAGGGCCUUAUGGCAAGUAGAGUUUUUGCAGAUAUAAUCAAAUUAAGAUAAAGUCAUUGGGUACCCCCUAAUUCAUAAUAGGAGUGAUAUUCUCAUUAGAGGCAGACUUGGGUAUAUACUCAGAAGAGAGGGGUCCAUGUGAUGCAGAAAUGUCCAGGAGAGUGCUGUUUGAUCACAGAGCCUGAAAGUAAAGUCUGGCCAUAGUCAGGAGUGUUCAAGGUUACCAACAGACCUAGAAAUGAGCGUAUCCUUACAGGUUCUCGAGGGACACGGCUCUGCUGACACUUGGAUUUCAGACUCUGGCCACCAGAAUUUGGGAGCUAGCGGAAUUCAUAACGACUGCUUAAGAAAAACAAAGAACUGACUGCUUACCAAAACCAACGGAUUAAUGGCCAUUUUCGCUUUGGCUUAUACGUGGAAGAGACCAGGGAUACAAAGGAGGGACGGAAAAAAAUGAGCAAAGGUGAGAAGAGAGGAAAGAAGCCUUAAAAGGGUCAGGCAGCAUACGAAGAUGCCACAAC